rnacentral:rRNA from 1 species
UACGAAGGGGGCUAGCGUUGCUCGGAAUGACUGGGCGUAAAGGGCGCGUAGGCGGUUUGUACAGUCAGGUGUGAAAUUCCCGGGCUCAACCUGGGGGCUGCACUUGAUACGUAUGGACUGGAGUGGGGAAGAGGGUCGUGGAAUUCCCAGUGUAGAGGUGAAAUUCGUAGAUAUCUGGAGGAACACCGGUGGCGAAGGCGGCGUCCUGGACCAACACUGACACUGAGGAGCGAAAGCCAGGGGAGCAAACGGG